UGCAGCAACGCCGCGUGGAGGAUGACGCAUUUCGGUGUGUAAACUCCUUUUAUAAGGGAAGAUAAUGACGGUACCUUAUGAAUAAGCACCGGCUAACUCCGUGCCAGCAGCCGCGGUAAUACGGAGGGUGCAAGCGUUACUCGGAAUCACUGGGCGUAAAGGAUGCGUAGGCUGGAAAUCAAGUCGAGAGUGAAAUCCAACGGCUCAACCGUUGAACUGCUCUCGAAACUGGUUACCUAGAAUAUGGGAGAGGUAGAUGGAAUUGGUGGUGUAGGGGUAAAAUCCGUAGAUAUCACCAGGAAUACCGAUUGCGAAGGCGAUCUACUGGAACAUUAUUGACGCUGAGGCAUGAAAGCGUGGGGAGCAAACAGGAUUAGAUACCCUGGUAGUCCACGCCCUAAACGAUGCACACUAGUUGUUGCGAUGCUAGUCAUUGCAGUAAUGCACUUAACAGAUUAAGUGUGCCGCCUGGGGAGUACGGUCGCAAGAUUAAAACUCAAAGGAAUAGACGGGGACCCGCACAAGCGGUGGAGCAUGUGGUUUAAUUCGAAGAUACACGAAGAACCUUACCUGGCCUUGAUAUCCUAAGAAUCCUUUAGAGAUAAGGGAGUGCUAGUUUACUAGAACUUAGAGACAGGUGCUGCACGGCUGUCGUCAGCUCGUGUCGUGAGAUGUUGGGUUAAGUCCCGCAACGAGCGCAACCCUCGUGAUUAGUUGCUAACAGUUCGGCUGAGCACUCUAAUCAGACUGCCUUCGCAAGGAGGAGGAAGGUGAGGACGACGUCGAGUCAUCAUGGCCCUUAUGGCCAGGGCUACACACGUGCUACAAUGGCUAGGACAAAGAGACGCGAUACUGCGAAGUGGAGCAAAUCUUAAAACCUAGUCUCAGUUCGGAUUGGAGUCUGCAACUCGACUCCAUGAAGCUGGAAUCGCUAGUAAUCGUAGAUCAGAUAUGCUACGGUGAAUACGUUCCCGGGUCUUGUACUCACC
rnacentral:rRNA from 1 species